rnacentral:rRNA from 1 species
UACAGAGGGUGCAAGCGUUAAUCGGAAUUACUGGGCGUAAAGCGUGCGUAGACGGUUAUGUAAGUCAGAUGUGAAAGCCCCGGGCUCAACCUGGGAAUUGCAUUUGAGACUGCAUAGCUAGGGUGCGGAAGAGGGAAGCGGAAUUUCCGGUGUAGCGGUGAAAUGCGUAGAUAUCAGGAAGAACACCCGUGGCGAAGGCGGUUCUCUGGGACGGUACUGACGCUGAGACGCGAAAGCGUGGGGAGCGAACAGG